CUGGCGGCACGCCUUAUACAUGCAAGUCGAACGAAGUAGCAAUACUUAGUGGCAGACGGGUGAGUAACAUGUGGGUAUCUUCCCUUUGGUGAGGAAUAACACGAGGAAACUUGUGCUAAUACCUCAUAAGUCUUUACAGAGAAAGCUUUAUGCGCCAAUGGAUGAGCCCGCACUUGAUUAGUUAGUUGGUGGGGUAAUAGCCUACCAAGACUUUGAUCAAUAGCUGAUCUGAGAGGAUGAUCAGCCACAUUGGGACUGAGACACGGCCCAAACUCCUACGGGAGGCAGCAGUAGGGAAUAUUGCACAAUGGAGGAAACUCUGAUGCAGCGAUGCCGCGUGAGUGAAGAAGGCCUUUGGGUUGUAAAGCUCUUUCGUCGGGGAAGAAAAUGACGGUACCCGAAUAAGAAGGUCCGGCUAAC
rnacentral:rRNA from 1 species